AAUCAACGCUGGCGGCGUGCCUCAGACAUGCAAGUCGAACGCGAAACCUUCCUUCGGGAGGGGAGUAGAGUGGCGCACGGGUGAGUAACACGUAGGUAAUUUGCCUUCGGGUGGGGAAUAACAGCCGGAAACGGCUGCUAAUACCGUAUAAUGCAGCGGCUCGACAUCGAGACAGUUGUUAAAGCGGGGGAUUCGCAAGAACCUCGCGCCUGAAGAGAAGCCUGCGGCAGAUUAGCUAGUUGGUAGGGUAAUGGCCUACCAAGGCGACGAUCUGUAACCGGCCUGAGAGGGCGGUCGGUCACACUGACACUGACAUACGGGUCAGACUCCUACGGGAGGCAGCAGUCGGG
rnacentral:rRNA from 1 species